GAUGAACGCUGGCGGCGUGCCUAAUACAUGCAAGUCGAGCGAACGGACGAGAAGCUUGCUUCUCUGAUGUUAGCGGCGGACGGGUGAGUAACACGUGGAUAACCUACCUAUAAGACUGGGAUAACUUCGGGAAACCGUAGCUAAUACCGGAUAAUAUUUUGAACCGCAUGGUUCAAAAGUGAAAGACGGUCUUGCUGUCACUUAUAGAUGGAUCCGCGCUGCAUUAGCUAGUUGGUAAGGUAACGGCUUACCAAGGCAACGAUGCAUAGCCGACCUGAGAGGGUGAUCGGCCACACUGGAACUGAGACACGGGCCAGAAUCCUACGGGAGGCAGCAGUAGGGAAUCUUCCGCAAUGGGCGGAAGCCUGACGGAGCAACGCCGCGUGAGUGAUGAAAGUCUUCGGAUCGUAAAACUCUGUUAUUAGGGAAAAACAUAUGUGUAAGUAACUGUGCACAUCUUGACGGUACCUAAUCAGAAAGCCACGGCUAACUACGUG
rnacentral:rRNA from 1 species